UUACCCACUCCCGGCACGGGGAGGUAGUGACGAAAAAUAACGAUACGGGACUCAUCCGAGGCCCCGUAAUCGGAAUGAGUACACUCUAAACCCUUUAACGAGGAUCAAUUGNNNNGCAAGUCUGGUGCCAGCANCCGCGGUAAUUCCAGCUCCAAUAGCGUAUAUUAAAGUUGUUGCGGUUAAAAAGCUCGUAGUCGAAUUUNGUGUCUCGUGCCGCUGGUUCAUCGUUCGCGGUGUUAAUUGGCGAGUCGCGAGACNUCCUGCCGGUGGGCUUAGCUCGCAAGGGCGGCCCAACUCAAUCCUGCCGCGGUGCUCUUCACUGAGUGUCGAGGUGGGCCGGCACGUUUACUUUGAACAAAUUAGAGUGCUUAAAGCAGGCUAAAACUUCGCCUGAAUACUGUGUGCAUGGAAUAAUGGAAUAGGACCUCGGUUCUAUUUUGUUGGUUUUCGGAACUCCGAGGUAAUGAUUAAUAGGAACGGAUGGGGGCAUUCGUAUUGCGACGUUAGAGGUGAAAUUCUUGGAUCGUCGCAAGANGGACAGAAGCGAAAGCAUUUGCCAAAAACGCUUUCAUUGAUCAAGAACGAAAGUUAGAGGUUCGAAGGCGAUCAGAUACCGCCCUAGUUCUAACUAUAAACGAUCUCAGCUAGCGAUCCGUCGACGUUCCUCCGNUGACUCGACGGGCAGCUUCCGGGAAACCAAAGCUUUUGGGUUCCGGGGGAAGUAUGGUUGCAAAGCUGAAACUUAAAGGAAUUGACGGAAGGGCACCACCAGGAGUGGAGCCUGCGGCUUAAUUUGACUCAACACGGGAAACCUCACCAGGCCCGGACACCGGAAGGAUUGACAGAUUGAGAGCUCUUUCUUGAUUCGGUGGGUGGUGGUGCAUGGCCGUUCUUAGUUGGUGGAGCGAUUUGUCUGGUUAAUUCCGAUAACGAACGAGACUCUAGCCUGCUAACUAGGCGUAUUUUGACAUCCUAAAGGCCCGCCGACUCGGGG
rnacentral:rRNA from 1 species